CACACCUAGGCGAGGACGGGCAGCAGCGGCCCUGGGAAGGCUUCCGUGGAAACUUCCAAAACCACCUUGCCAGGUAAGAUGAAGUAAACACAUGGCAGCCUCUCUCUCCCACUGACGAUACAACCUUGAUAGAGGGCAUGGUGGAGCUAAUUGAAUGAUCCGAACAGUAAAUACCAGCAAGUAGAUGGGUGAAAACAGCCAGGAUUCCAAGUACCACAAAACUGGUGUUGAGUUGUGCACACUUUUUCCUCUGGAAUCUCUUGAGCAGAACUCAGCAUGACCUGAAACCCAGGAGUGAGCCGCACAGUGCCGACAAUGAGAUGCAGAAGAAAACCUCUGGUUCUGGCUGAAGCAGUGGACAAGGAGACUCUUGAAACUCAGAGCCUGGGGGCACCCCUGAUAGUGUUCUUUACUUUCUCUCCCUUCUCACAUUCCAGCCACCAGAGAAUGCAAGAGAGGAGUAGCAGUGGCAGUAAAUGUGGCAUCAACAACAACAACAAAAAGCAGGGACUAGGACUCUGAGGAAGGGAAGCCUAUAUUCUGGCCUCAGGGUGCUCUUUCUUCCUGCCUAGGGGUCAUAUACCACCUGUGGGCACCUCAGGACUCCUGACAACCUCACUUUUACCUGUUGCCUUUUUAGCCCAGGAUCAGUAGGUAUGGGGGUGCACAUGCUCUUGAGGACACAGCAGCUGUCACAUCAGGGAACCCGACUCCAGAACCCUCUGUAAAUAUCCCAUGGCUUGGCCCUGCCCAUCACCCCACCCAGGCCUCCUCAAAUGAGGAGCUAAAGCUGGCCCAUGGGGCCAAAGUGCAGAGGGUAGGGAUAAUGAGCCACUGGCCUUCUAGAACCUGGCAUGGUCCCUGAGUCAGCCAUGACACAGGCAGGGGAGGAGGGUGGGGCUGGGAUAAAGCUGGAUCUCAAGGGAGUUAGAUUUGUUCAGCCUAGGGGAGGGGAGCAGAGGAGAUGCUCUAAGAUGUGGCUUUACCAAAUGUUUCAAGGACACGGAUGGACCAAGCAAUGGCACCUGUGAUGAAAGAUUGAAGCCCAGGAGGUGGGGCUCCUGCUAAUCUCACUUGACUAUUGUAAGGCUCCACAAAAAGCAAGGUUCUUAGCAAUGUAGAUGGGGCUUUAUGGGUAGGAAAGGGAGAAACUGGUAUUUCUUUACGCAACUUCUGCUAAGCACCUCAUAUGUGCUAUGAUAACUAAUCCUCACUAAGCCCAUGACACAAAGAUUCAUGUUUUAGAUGAACAAGCUAAGAUAUAAAAAAGUUAAACAAGAGACAUCCAAGGUCACAGUCCUAGUAAGGGACAGGGCUGAGUAAGCCUUCAGUAAAUAUAUUCUCCUACCCCAGUAUAAAACCCAGAAAA
rnacentral:lncRNA from 1 species